rnacentral:lncRNA from 1 species
UUAACUUGUAGAUUUUUAAAGGUCUCUCUCUCUCUCUCUAGAUUUCUUAGAUCUUUUUCCCUCAAAAUUUUAUUCACAGGGAUUGGGGUAGUUGCACAUGUUUACCAUGAAUCAAUGAAUUGCACUCUUGGAUGUGCAUAUGUAUGACUGAAAGAACCACUCUCCAGAAAUAAUUUUCAUGUUUGAGUGGAUAUUAUCGCAUACAAAUAUAAGUGGAUAUUAUCAAAUACAAAUCUGUCCCAUAAGAAGCCAUUAACAUAAUAUCUAGCCAAGAAAAAUAAAGUAAUUGUGAACAUUUUUCAUGAGAGAAUUUCAACUACUGGCUCCCAUCCUAAAACUCAACUAAAAGGGAUUGUACAAUAUAAAACCGUUUAUCGUAGUGUCACAAUCACCCCUAGCCAUUCGAUAAGAAAUCAGACGGCUAAAUCUGACAGCUAGGGUUGUAUCAUAAAGCUCUAUAAAAGACUUGAAAUAGUAACUCAAGGAUGCACAUGAUUACAUAUAUUAUACCAAGGCAUGAUAUAAUACUAAAGACAGUU